ACUACAAAGGCUGCGAGCAGGACAAGCGCAUCCAGCGCCGCGCCGUCACCCCCGCCGAGCAGGAGCACCGCAAGCGUGUGCUCCGCGAGCUGAAUUCAAUCAUCUCCGGCGGUGCCGGCUCUCCCGACGAAGCCGUAGAUGAGGAGGUCACUGACACCGAGUGGUUCUUCCUCAUAUCCAUGACACACUCCUUCAUCAACGGCGACGGCCUCCCGG
rnacentral:misc_RNA from 1 species